rnacentral:lncRNA from 10 species
ACCACAAAAGGCCCAGACACUCCAACCUGGACAACUCAUUGCCUACAGAGGAGCUGUGAAUUGCCUUGAAUUCAACUUCACCGCAUCGUAAUGGCACUAGUGGCGGCGGGACGGCUCCUUUCCCUGCAGGCGGUGGAAGGCAUUGAACAAGCCUAUAACUGCAGUCCUGCCACUUUUCCCAGACCCCUUCUUCCUUUCAUGCUGAUGAGUAAGGCAGGGAAGCUUUGCUGCACAAAGCAGGAGGGCGGCAUGCCAGCAGCCUAGACUUCUGCCUGAAAUAUUUAAACACCGAACUCCACAGGCCGGAAAUGUAAUCAAAUGUUAAAUUAUGAAAGGUCUCCGAGUUCAGCUCAGCCUCUGUAGAAAAUGGAUGGGCCUCAGUAAUUCAUGAGGCAGGCACAUCACUAACUGCCCGUUGAGGGCUUUCUUACAUAACUAGCAGACGGCUUCACCGUCAGUGCAAAGACCACAGUUCCAGCAAGGCACUCAGGGUGAAAUUGAGCUGGGCCUCCCCUAUUAGGCAAGAACAGGGACCUCCACUUGUGGCCACACCCGUGACCCUCAACUUGUCCACCGCUAAAUUUUGUCUUAGUUCAAGCUGCUAUAACAAAAAUAUCAUAGACAGAGUGCUUUAAACGUAGACAUUUAUUUCUCACAGGUCUGGAGGCUGGAAGUCCAAGAUCAAGGUGCUGGCAGAUUUGGUUUCUGGUGAGGGCCUGUGAUAUGGUUUAGCUCUGUGUCCCCAAACCCAAAUGUUAUCAUGAAUUGUACUCCCAUAAUUCCCACCUGGUGCGAGAUAAUUUGAAUCAUGGGGUCAGUUUCCCCUAUACUGUUCUUAUAGUGAACUAGAUCUGAUGGCUUUAUCAGGGGUUUUCACUUUUGUAUCUUCCUCAUUUUCUCUUGCCGAUGUCAUGUAAGAAGUGCUUUUCACCUCCUGCCAUGAUUCUGAGGCUUCCCCAGCCAUGUGGUACUGUUUGGAACCAACUGAAAGAGAUGCAGGUGACAGGAAGGUGAAAAUACAUAUCUCUGUAUCACUAAGGAAGCUGCUUGUCGUAUGUGCCUUGAGGAUGUCCAGGUGGUCUUGAUAAUGUACAUCUCCCCCACUAAUGAAACUUACCUGCUAUGCUCCUGGUUAUGCCUUGAGACCACAGCCUACCUGAGCACACUUUGCACAUCACAGAGCCAAGUAGCCAGAGUCCAUCUGCUUAGCAGGCAGGAGGAGGCUGAAGGGCAGGCAGAAGAGGCUCUGCUCACACCCAGGGCUUUCUCCUUGAGCUCAGGGGUGACAAGGUGGCUAGAGAGGCUGGAGUGUGACCCAGUGAAGGUCCU